rnacentral:lncRNA from 1 species
AGUGAGUGAGUUCUGAUAACAUUUGAUGGUUUUAUAAGGGGCUCUUCCCCCUUCACUCAGCACUUCUCCUUCCUGCCGCCUUUUGAAGAAGGUGCCUUGCUUCCCCUUUGCCUUCCGCCAUUAUUGUAAGUUUCCUGAGGCCUCCCCAGCCAUGCUGAACUGUGAUUCAUUUAAAACUCUUUCCUUUAUAAAUUACCCAGUCUCAGGCAGUUCUUUAUGGCAGUAUGAAAACGGACUAAUACAGAAAUGAAUCAUUAUCAUUGAAACUUUUAUCACUUUAAAGACAAGAGAUUGAUUUUGUUCUGGCCAUUUUCUUGAACAACUACAUCUGGGGGUGUAGUACUGAAAAUUCAGCACUCUCUGGAACCCACGUUCUCUCCCUUCUGGGUUAGGGAAUAACAUCAAGUCUCCUUCCUUUGAGCCCUGGAUCAAAGAGACCUGAUAGGUGAUUGAUUGUGUGGGCAGAAUGGAGACUUGGGAAAUGGAGUCACAUUCUGCCCUUCAUUGUCCCUCAGGAACUACUUAUGCCCUCAUUGUUUUAUCCAAUUUUAGGUGUGCUUUUAAAUGUACAUAUCACAUACACUUUUCCACUGUGGAAAAGACACAACCACAAACUCCAGCAUGAAGAACAGCCCAGUUGACCUCCCUCAUCUUUACAAUAGGACAAAACAGCUUCUUGAGUUCAUUGGAAACAAAGCCUUUCCUACAGGGAUGAGACCUUUUCCCAUUGUUUAUUUAUUUAUUCACUCAAGAAACAUUGAACUCCUACUAUAAAAAUUGCCCUUCCUAUAAAUGAAUGAAUUCAAGCUACAGAGGUUAAAAGGCUUAGAGAAAAUUAUCCAGCAAGCAAUGAAAAUUUUGAGUGUCGACUCCAGGGACGCUUGGUUUUAAAUCCAUGCAAUAAAUCAUUAAACUACACACAGACACACACACAGCAGUUUAAUUAAUGUUGAGCAACAGGUUUUUAAAAAUUAUUCCUCAUUUGAUUUUUAUUUGUGAUAAGAAAAUGUAAAAUAAUCAUUUUUAAAGAUUCAUGCAUAGCCCACUAUUCUCACUUUUCCAGCCCUUGUUUGUACAAAACUAUAUUUUCAACAAACUGUAGCCAGCACAUUUUUAUUCUUCUUUUGUGUUUAAUAUUACGGUAUUUUCCAUUUUGCUAUAUAAUCAUAAUCAUUGUUUUAUUGCUGCAUAAUAUUCUAUCAAAUUGAUAUACCAUAGCUUAGCUAUUCCCACAUAAUUGGACAUUAAAUCCUUCCGAUGUUUUGUUGUUACAGGUAAUGCUGCUGUGAUAACUUCAUGUGUGUAGCUUUUCCUUUCCUUUAAAUUAUGUCCUGUGAAGAGAUUCCCAGGAGUGAAACUACUGAAAGAUAAGAAAGAGUGGUAUAGUUGAGAUGAAAUUAGCAUUAGGAACAGAAUUGAAGACAAAGAUCAGCCCAGCAAUGGCCCAUUCCCCUGCAGGGAGAAUUCUCAACCAGAUAUUGACUGGUUUAAUUGAUUUCGUGGUGUUCCUGCUCAUCAUGAAUAUAUCCACAAUAACCACAUCAGGUGAGUCACUGUUGGACAAUUCUUAACAUUUACGAUGAGCAAUGUCGAUCCUACAGCUAUAUCGUAUUGAUCUCCUUCGAUACUGCUCUCGUUGGUCUGUGCUCCUCCUAUUUUGUCUACAGAUAAAAAGUGUAGAGUCAUGAAGAAUCCAGGAUUUAAAGACUAGAGGUCUGGACUGAAGUUGUCUUCUACUUAGCACUUGUGUGAUUUUUUAAGCUGAUCACUUACCUUGUUGAUCCUGCAAAAUGAAGCCUGUCUUUCAGGGUUGUGGAAAAACUCAAAAGAGCCAAUACAUAUGAAAAUCUUUUUUUAAAAAAAGCAACAUAUACAUACGUACUUCAAAAUUUUUUAAAAAUUUCUGCUAUACGGAGUGAACAGAACCAAUCUGAAGCAGGAUGCAACCCAGUCAAGCGAGAACACUGUACUCAACCUAAAAAAGUGACUCUCAAGAGGUACCUGGUAAUUCAGGUAGAUUUCUUAAUAUAAAAAGGAGUAUUUUCAAUUUCUGGUUCUGUAGACCCACCUUCCCCAAACUUCACAAUGGUCCCAGACACUUGGGAGAACUUGAAUGCUUGAGAUGCAAAGUGCUUUGGGUAACUUCUAUUUAAUCUGCUCAGCUCAGCAAAGCUGUGGGUAAAUAUUCAAAAACACCCAAGGGUUUGUCUAGAGCAACCUCCCCAAUCUGGGGAAUUGCACACAGCCAGAGCUUGCUUGGGAUGGCCUUAGCCACAGUCCUCCUUCCACUGCCUGGCCCCUGCCUGUUUCACAUCAUCCGCCCGUAAGCAAUGUGGUAAAGCAGAUUCCAGUCCCUCGUGAAUUCCCCAAAGGUGCAUUUCAAUAUGAACCCCCUUGAUUUGCCAUUCUCUUUUGCCUCUACCUAACUUUAAUAACUUUUCCCUAAUUUUUACCAAUAUUUUCCACUUGGGGCUUUUAUUAUUUAGAUGUCUUUUUCUUACCUCAUGUAUUUGCAUUUCCUUUGUAGAAGAGAAGGGGAGAGUGGCAGUUCCUGAUUACUUGAGAACUUCAGGGAAGCCUGAAGACCCACCUGGAAUGUGAAUAAGAGUUUUCAGGUGAUGGCAGCCUUAUUUUAGGGAGCCUAAUUCCUCUUCUGAAAUUGUCUUCAGAUCCAAUUUUCAUACCACCUGUUCACCAUGUGGCCUGAGGAAUCAGGAAAUUGCUGCUACUGCUCAUGUUAGGAAAUUACAAGAAGCCUUCACCAAUGGUCAUAAUCAACCUACAGCACAAAGGAGUCUUCAUGAACCUUUUGUUCACAACCUCAAUCAGUGAAGAGAGGAAGUCCGCUUUCAGCUCCUCUCCAGGAUCCCCGUGGGUGGCUUCCCUCCACCAUAUGUUCCUCCGAAGCUGUGCUGCCCAGCCACUUGCCUUGGGGCUCGGUACAAAUGCAUCUUGGAGGUGAAGUGCUGGGGAAGACGAAAGUGCUCUUUCCAGAUGGCACCAAAUUAGCCUCUUGAGAUACGGAUUUGCCGGGAAUAUGUUUAUAAGGAAAGCAAACAAAGGAGUCCCUGGAGAUUUUAAACAGUCUAGGGCCUUGGGUGGGAAAUGGGGGAGGUAAGGAAGAAGGCUGGGGAAAGAGGCUGGAGAAGGCAGUAGGGCAAGGGAGGGGGGCAUCUAUCCCAAACCCACCCACAGCCAACUCUCGCCUCCUCCUGGCCAUUCACAAGGAAGCCAGUUUCAUUGCCAGACAACACACAUUAUCAGUAUGAUUUAAAAAUAAUGAUCUGAUUAAUUUAAAUGUGAAUCUGAUUGCCUUUAAUAUUGAAACACUGGCUCUAACAACGCCUUCAAGAGCUUAAAAAGAAGUCUUGCUUGUCUUAUGUAGCUAGUGUUUAUUUUGUACUUACUAUGAGUCAGGCAUUAUCACAUUUAAUUCACAAAAGUCACACCAAGAGGUAGACAUGAUUACAAUGUCUAUAUUACAGAUAAGGACACAAAGGUUUAGAGAAGUUUUAAAAAGGUAAAAAAACAUAUCUAAGAUUACAUAUCUAGUAGGUGGCACCUCUGAGCUGUAUACUCAGGGUUGUGAAACCAAACUCAGUGUUGAUAACCUCAAUGCUCAACUGCCUCUACGUAGCUGAAGCACUGCCUCCUGCCCUCUGCCCUCUCUGCUUCCCAGAAUCAUCACCCUUUUCUGUGAGUUCUUCUUUAUUGGCUGAGAGACACCAGACCCUUCAUAAUCCUGAUUUCUCUCCUCAGGUUCUCAGUGAUCUAGUGCUUCACACUAUACUUGAUCAUGUUGCCCAGCUAGUGUUGGGUUGAUUAUUGUUUUCUUUGUUUUAUCAAGAAUGACAAACAAGAAGCUGUGUUGGGUGAGUGUCCCCAGAAACUGAUCCUGAGACAAAGAUUUAGGUGUGAGUGGUUUAUUUGGGAGGUGAUUCCUGGAAGCAUCUGUGGAGGACUGGGGAGGUGAGACAGACUGGAAAGGCAUCCAAUGGUGACUGCCAUGGGCAACUGAGACUUAACUUGCUGGUGAACUGUGGGAGAGGCUGCAGAGCACACCUGAGAAUUUUUCCCUCUAAGGGGCGAGGAUGUUAGGGAUAUUUAUCUUCCCACUCUCAUCUGUCAGAGGGAUUUACUUCACAGCACUCCCAGCCUCCCCCAUGUGCAGAUCAAGAGAAAGUGCCUAGGCAGAAGUUGCAGGUGCUUGCAA